GAUGAACGCUGGCGGCGUGCCUAAUACAUGCAAGUCGAGCGAAAGGACGCGAAGCUUGCUUCUCUGAUGUUAGCGGCGGACGGGUGUGUAACACGUGGAUAACCUACCUAUAAGACUGGGAUAACUUCGGGAAACCGUAGCUAAUACCGGAUAAUCUUUUGAACCGCAUGGUUCAAUAGUGAAAGACGGUCUUGCUGUCACUUAUAGAUGGAUCCGCGCUGCAUUAGCUAGUUGUUAAGGUCACGGCUUACCAAGGCAACGAUGCGUAUCCGACCUGAGAGAGGGAUCGGCCACACUGGAGCGUAGACACGGUCCAUACUCCUACGGGAGGCAGCAGUAGGGAAUCGUCCGCAAUGGGCGAGAGCCUGACGGAGCAGCGCCGCGUGAGUUAUGAAAGUGUUCGGAUCGUAAAACUCUGUUAUUAGUUAAGAACAUAUGUGUAAGGAACUGUGCACAGCGUGACGGUACCUAGUCAGAAAGCCACGGCUAACUACGUG
rnacentral:rRNA from 1 species